UAUCAAACAAUAUUAUAUUAAUAAGAUCUUCGCGCAUAAUGCACAUAAACAUUAGCCUUUUGAGAAGCAAAGCAAUCAUACGCCUAGUACGCAAAUUGUAGACAAGAAACCUCAACGUGAAAAAUCCGCCAUAGCCAUCAAAGAACUUGUUCUUUACAACAGAGAUGCAUUCGCGGGCCUCGUAUUAAUCGGACGAACUAUGAAAUCUUUAUUGUCAAUGGCUUCUAUUUCUUCUCUACAAGUUAUUUGCUCUCUCAUCAAGGCGAUCAAGAGCCCUUUAGUCACAAACUUGAAUCAUGCGAUGGAAUUUCAAACAUUGUUGACUUAUUGCAAUAUUCUGAGGAUUCUGAAAUUGGAUUAAUGGCAUUCAACUGCGUAUUUGAAAUCGGGUAUUUUGGAAGAAAAAGAGUCUUUUUAAGCAAUGACGAAUGCAGGUUUGAUCAAGAAACUUGUGGAAUUGCAGAGGUUGAGAAGUAAUCAAUUUGCAGGAUGUGUAGUGAAAUUCACAAUCCAAUUCAAGCAAAAAGGCCAAUGUAUGAAUUGAGCUAAAAAAAAAAGGCAAUUCUGGGUUCAUCUGUCGGGUCCUCUAGAAAGAUGGAUGGAUAUAGUCGUUGACUUCAUUAGGGCCACGCGGACAACAGUAGUCUCGCCUAAUCGAAAGAGACGCAUCCAGUAAUUCCAAAUUUGACGUUUAAUUCAUAAAGAAAUUAAUAAACGUGUCAGUUCUUCAAUGUUUCUUCUAGAGAAAGAUGAUCCAGUCUCCCUCAUCCAUGUUGUAUAGUUUAAUGCUCCAAUGAAUUCAUAUACUUCAAGGGGUUGUUUGAUAAAGUUUUAACAGAUUUGAUAAAAUUUGAUCAAAAUUAUAGUUAAAUAGUUGAAGUAAUUGGGAUACACGAAGUUUGAGUUAUGCAAAUGCACACUAAAGCUAAAAUUGUCAUUUGUAAUUGCUGUUACAUGUUUCAUUUGUGUUUCAUUUGCAAUAAAAAUAUCAAGGACUAGUGGAUGGAUAUGCUGGAAAUUUGUAUAUGAAAUUGGCUUUGACCAAUUCUUAAUUAUUAAAUGGAAAUUGUUAUUUGGUGAAUAAAAAAUUAAAUCAAAUUUAAAUCAUUUAAAUACGUGAAUUAUUGAAAAAUCACGUAGAAUAUUAUGAG
rnacentral:lncRNA from 1 species